rnacentral:lncRNA from 1 species
CGGCGCUGGAGCGGGCGGCGUGGUCCGCCCGGGGAAGGGUAUUCUGUGUUCCUGACUUGCAUUUUGGUUUAUUCCGGGCGCGAGGGCAGCCGUUGAUUGUGAAUGUUUUAGUAAUCCUAAAAUAGAACCGAGUAGUUCUGGGAGAGGGGCUAUAAGGAGUUAGUGUUGAAUGAGUGCAGAGUUUCUUUUGGGGAAGAUGAACAAAUUCUGGAGAUGGAUGGUGGACACGGUGCGCAACAAUGUGAACGGGUUAAUGCCUCUGUGCUGCACGCUGAAAAACGGCUAACCUGGAAGAUUAGCCCUGAGCUAACUACUGCCAAUCCUCUUUUUGCUGAGGAAGACUGGCCCUGAGCUAACAUCCAUGCCCAUCUUCCUCUACUCUAUAUGUGGGAUGCCUGCCACAGCAUGGCUUGACAAGCAGUGCCAUGUCUACACCCGGGAUCCGAACUGGCGAACCCUGGGCUGCUGAGAAGUGCAAUGUGCGAACUUAACUGCUGCGCCACUGGGCCGGCCCUUGCCUUUCUUAUUUGAUGUUAUAUUUCAAGGCAGAGCGGCAGCCCUUCGUUUCGCUGCUGAAGAGCUUUCCGCGGGGCACUGCAGCCGAGCUUCUGCAUCCGUUACCCGGUUGCUGGGAAUUUGGUUGUUUCGGGUUUGGGGCAUUGCAGACAAUGCCGUGAGGGAUGCUGUCCUGCGUGUGCAGGGGCGCAUCUGAG